UAUAUACCGCUACGAUCAAAAAGAAAAAGAAAAGCGAUCGGCCCACUGACGCGAUUAGAUAAAUCUUCAGCUUGACCAAGGUUGGCUCGACGUUUGCCGUCCGUUACGCUCAGACCACUGCGCGCGCACCACGGUGUGGACAUGCGCACAAGUAAUCGGCAGAAACGCUUGUGCGUUGCCUGUGCACAGCUCCUGUACGGCAGCAGCGGAAGGCAGCACACGGCCCCGUGCAGAGCCAAUUGAGCGGAACGUGACGCAUGCAGUGUCAGGCCAUGGGCCGAGAAUACCAUCCUCCGUCAGUGGGUGCCUGCCAACGCUGCCUAGAUCAUCGCCCAACGUCCGCGCUCCAGCACAUGUACGUGUGCUGGGCAAUCACAUAAUAUCACAGAGCAUUACAACGACUGCUCUUCUUGGACAUCCAGUACCUGACAUGAUGUUGCUUCUGGCCGAGCGCUAUCUUCUGAAGAUCAAGACGUUCGGUAGGCUUUCGGAAACAGAUUUACUUUUUAAUUUUCAGAUGAGGAAUACUAGUAAAUGAUGUGU